GACGAACGCUGGCGGCGUGCUUAACACGUGCAAGUCGAGCGGAAAGGCCCUUUCGGGGGUACUCGAGCGGCGAACGGGUGAGUAACACGUGAGUAAUCUGCCCUUGGCUUUGGGAUAACCACCGGAAACGGUGGCUAAUACCGGAUAUGACGCGCCCCGGCAUCGGGGUGGGUGGAAAGUUUUUUCGGCCAGGGAUGUGCUCGCGGCCUAUCAGCUUGUUGGUGGGGGAAUGGCCUACCAAGGCUUCGACGGGUAGCCGGCCUGAGAGGGUGACCGGCCACACUGGGACUGAGACACGGCCCAGACUCCUACGGGAGGCAGCAGUGGGGAAUAUUGGACAAUGGGCGGAAGCCUGAUCCAGCAACGCCGCGUGAGGGAUGACGGCCUUCGGGUUGUAAACCUCUUUCAGUACCGACGAAGCGCCGAUGAUGGUGGUGACGGUAGGUACAGAAGAAGCACCGGCCAACUACGUGCCAGCCGCCGCAGUAA
rnacentral:rRNA from 1 species